rnacentral:rRNA from 1 species
UACGUAGGGUCCGAGCGUUGUCCGGAAUUAUUGGGCGUAAAGAGCUCGUAGGCGGUUUGUCGCGUCUGCCGUGAAAGUCCGGGGCUCAACUCCGGAUCUGCGGUGGGUACGGGCAGACUAGAGUGAUGUAGGGGAGACUGGAAUUCCUGGUGUAGCGGCGAAAUGCGCAGAUAUCAGGAGGAACACCGAUGGCGAAGGCAGGUCUCUGGGCAUUAACUGACGCUGAGGAGCGAAAGCAUGGGGAGCGAACAGG